rnacentral:rRNA from 1 species
AUUGAACGCUGGCGGCAGGCUUAACACAUGCAAGUCGAGCGGGGUGAUGGUGCUUGCACUAUCACUUAGCGGCGGACGGGUGAGUAAUGCUUAGGAAUCUGCCUAUUAGUGGGGGACAACAUCUCGAAAGGGAUGCUAAUACCGCAUACGUCCUACGGGAGAAAGCAGGGGAUCACUUGUGACCUUGCGCUAAUAGAUGAGCCUAAGUCGGAUUAGCUAGUUGGUGGGGUAAAGGCCUACCAAGGCGACGAUCUGUAGCGGGUCUGAGAGGAUGAUCCGCCACACUGGGACUGAGACACGGCCCAGACUCCUACGGGAGGCAGCAGUGGGGAAUAUUGGACAAUGGGGGGAACCCUGAUCCAGCCAUGCCGCGUGUGUGAAGAAGGCCUUAUGGUUGUAAAGCACUUUAAGCGAGGAGGAGGCUCUUUUGGUUAAUACCCAAGAUGAGUGGACGUUACUCGCAGAAUAAGCACCGGCUAACUACGUGCCAGCCGCCGCCGUAA